rnacentral:rRNA from 1 species
AGCGAACGCUGGCGGCAGGCUUAACACAUGCAAGUCGAACGCCAUCUUCGGAUGGAGUGGCAGACGGGUGAGUAACGCGUGGGAACGUACCCUUUGGUUCGGAAUAUUCUCGGGAAACUGGGAGCAAUACCGGAUAAGCCCUACGGGGGAAGAUUUAUCGCCAAAGGAGCGGCCCGCGUCAGAUUAGGUAGUUGGUGGGGUAAAGGCCUACCAAGCCUACGAUCUGUAGCUGGUCUGAGAGGAUGAUCAGCCACACUGGGACUGAGACACGGCCCAGACUCCUACGGGAGGCAGCAGUGGGGAAUUUUGGACAAUGGACGCAAGUCUGAUCCAGCAAUGCCGCGUGCAGGACGAAGGCCUUCGGUUGGUAAACUGCUUUGUUACAGAACGAAAAGGACUCUGGUUAAUACCUGGGGCUCAUGACGGUACUGUAAGAAUAAGCACCGGCUAACUACGUG